AAUGCUUCUAAAUGAUAGUUAAAAACUUUUAUUUCUCGCUAGAGUAUAAAGAAAAACAUCCCAAGACAAGGAGAGUCUUUUCCAGAGGAGUUCAUCUGUCAGAUCCAGAAACAAAAAGUGAAGUUUAAAAAAAAAAAUCUUGCCAAAUUUCCUUGCACCACCCAUAAAACCACUGUAAUUGGCCGACAUCUGCAGCCGUGAAGAUUGAACAAAAAUAUCCAAGAGAACAAUGACCGGUUAUGAUACAGAUGAAAAAUUGCUUCCUAGCAAGAGAUAGGGAAGAGAGGAGACAAAAGUGAAGAGAUGAAAAUAACGAUUGAACUGAUAGAAGCGAUUUUGAAGCAUGAAAAGAACUGUCAACUGGCGAAUAAUUGUAUUAAUUUAUUAGUUUUGAC